rnacentral:rRNA from 1 species
GAAGGCCCCACUGUCUUAAGAGAAUUCCCAGUGAAAUUGAAUUCGUAGUGAAGAUGCUACGUCCAAUUUGUUAGACGAAAAGACCCCAUUGAGCUUUACUGGAGACUUACAUUGCUCGGAUCGACUCUCGCCCCCAGGGGGGGGGUCGAAUUUAAAUGGAUAGCUUAAAUUAUGUGGUGUCAUAACCAUCGAUCAAGUAGUCCCUACGGGAUUGCCCCGAAGGUAGACCUGUUUGGGUGAAUGAAACCCCACUCUUUUAUGUUAAAUGAGCUAACCCUUUCUCUCUUAAGGGGGACAAUGUAAGUUGGACAGUUUGGUUGGGGCGACCGCCUUUUAAAGAGUAACGAAGGUGUGCUUAAGGUACACAAUUAAUAUCAGUAGCCUGACUGCGAGGGGGAUUCCCCCGAGCAGACACCUAAAGUCUUCUCUCUUCCUCCCCGAAGGUUAAAGACGAAUGGUGGGUUAUAGUGACCCGUUAAUUUAGAGUGGAAUAGUUAACGAUCAACAAAUAAAA